UUAUGAUGGCUGGUUAACCAACGGCCAAAAGUUUGACUCUUCUCGCGACAGAGGAAAGCACUUCCAAUUCAGACUCGGAGCUGGGGAAGUCAUCAAGGGAUGGGAUAAGGGAGUCGAAGGCAUGAAGGUUGGG
rnacentral:ribozyme from 1 species